rnacentral:rRNA from 1 species
UUUGUAAUUGGAAUGAUAGAAAUUUAAACACUUUUUAAAGUAUCAAUUGGAGGGCAAGUCUGGUGCCAGCAGCCGCGGUAAUUCCAGCUCCAAUAGCGUAUAUUAAAAUUGUUGCAGUUAAAAAGCUCGUAGUUGAAUUUCUGCUAAAAGUAACCGGUCUGCUUUGAAUAAAGGUGGUAUCUUGGUGUGUUUUUAGCAAUAAUGUCCUUUGAAAUGUUUUUUACUUUAUUGUAAUAAAUUAUAUUCAGGAUUUUUACUUUGAGAAAAUUAGAGUGUUUCUAGCAGGCUAACGCUUUGAAUACUGCAGCAUGGAAUAAUAAAAUAGGAUUUUGGUUCUACAUUAUUGGUUUUAAGAACUAAAUUAAUGAUUGAUAGGAACAGUUGGGGGCAUUUGUAUUUAACUGUCAGAGGUGAAAUUCUUAGAUUUGUUAAAGACAAACUACUGCGAAAGCAUUUGCCAAAGAUGUUUUCAUUAAUCAAGAACGAAAGUUAGGGGAUCGAAGACGAUCAGAU